UAUCACAGUAGUAGUUUGGUGAAAAGAAGUGAAGUGCAGGUGAUUUAUUGGGUUCCAACAGUUAAUCCUAUUCCAGCAGCGCUAUCCCUAGCAGUGGAUCAUUAUUAGGGACUGUGAGUUUAAGGACUUUGACGCGAGACAAAUAUCUUGACGUCGAAUUUGGACUGGAUAUGAUCCUUAUAUUUGAGGCGGGUACUUUUGACUUUAUGUCUUUGAUAUGCAUAGUAGUGAAUUUAAC